UCGUGAUAUGCUUGUCUCAAAGAUUAAGCCAUGCAUGUGUAGGUAUAACCGAUUAUACCGGAAAACUGCGAAUGGCUCGGUAAAUCAGUUAUAGUUUAUUUGAUAGUGCAAACUACUCGGAUAACCGUAGUAACACUAGAGCUAAUACGUGCGUAAAUCCCGACUCUUGGAAGGGACGUAUUUAUUAGAUAAAAGGCUAACCGGGUUUUCCCGACCAGCGAUGAAUCAUGGUAACUUCACGGAUUGCAUGGCCUUUGUGCCGGCGACGUGUCAUUCAAGUUUCUGCCCCAUCAUGGUUUCGACUGUAAUGUAUUGGAUUACAGUGCCGAUAACGGGUAGCGGAGGAUUAGGGUUCGAUUCCGGAGAGGGCGCCUGAGAAAUGGCGACCACAUCCAAGGAAGGCAGCAGGCGCGCAAAUUACCCAAUCCCAACUCAGGGAGGUAGUGACAAGAAAUAACAAUGCGGAGCCACAGGUUCUGCAAUUGGAAUGAGAACAAUUUAAACCACUUAACGAGUACCUAUUGGAGGGCAAGUCUGGUGCCAGCAGCCGCGGUAAUUCCAGCUCCAAUAGCGUAUAUGUAAGUUGUUGCGAUUAAAAAGCCCGUAGCUGAACCUCGGGCAGCCCUGACGGUCCGCCAAUCGGUGUGUACUGUCGUGGGCUGCCUUUCUGCUGGGGACCGUAUCCUUGCAUUCACUUGCCGGGAACGGGACCUAGCAAGGUUACUUUGAGUAAAAUAGAGUGUUCAAAGCAAGCUAUCGCUCUGAAUACACUAGCAUGGGAUAACACGACAUGACCGAUGGUCUAUCUUGUUGGCCUGUAGACCCGUUGGUAAUGGCUAAUAGGGACGGUCGGGGGCAUUCGUAUUUCGCUGUCAGAGGUGAAAUUCUUGGAUUUGCGAAAGACGAACUACUGCGAAAGCAUUUGUCAAGGACGCUUUCAUUAGUCAAGGACGAAAGUCGGGGGAUCGAAGACGAUUAGAUACCGUCGUAGUCUCGACCAUAAACGAUGCCAAUUAGGGAUCGGAGGGUGGUUUUCUUAUGCCUCCUCCGGCACCUUCCGCGAAAGCAAAAUCUAUGGGCUUCGGGGGGAGUAUGGUCGCAAGGCUGAAACUUAAAGGAAUUGACGGAACGGCACCACCAGGCGUGGAGCCUGCGGCUUAAUUUGACUCAACACGGGAAAACUUACCAGGUCCAGACAAAAUUAGGAUUUACAGAUUGAUAGCUCUUUAAAGAUUUUUUGGAUGGUGGUGCAUGGCCGUUCUUAGUUCGUGGAUUGAUUUGUCAGGUUGAUUCCGGUAACGGACGAGACCCCAACCUACUAACUAUGCUCCAGUCUGAUUCCCAGCUGGCUAGCUUCUUAGAGGGACUCUCGGUGUCGAGCCGAUGGAGGUGGGGCAAUAACAGGUCUGUGAUGCCCUUAGAUGUCCUGGGCCGCACGCGCGCUACACUGAUGCAUUCAACGAGCCUACCCUUGGCCGAGAGGUCUGGGUAAUCUGUGAAACUGCAUCGUGAUGGGGCUAGAUUAUUGCAAUUAUUGAUCUUCAACGAGGAAUGCCUAGUAAGCGCGAGUCAUCAACUCGCGUUGAUUACGUCCCUGCCGUUUGUACACACCGCCCGUCGCUCCUACCGAUUGGGUGUGCUGGUGAAAUGUCCGGAUUGGGCAGCUCCCCGGUUUUCGGGGUACUGCCCGAGAAGCUCAUUGAACCCUCUCACCUAGAGGAAGGAGAAGUCGUAACAAGGU
rnacentral:rRNA from 1 species